GACGGAGGAUGCAAGCGUUAUCCGGAAUGAUUGGGCGUAAAGCGUUCGCAGGUGGCUAUUCAAGUCUGCUGUCAAAGACCGGGGCUUAACCCCAGAGAGGCAGUGGAAACUGAAUAGCUGGAGUGCGGUAGGGGCAGAGGGAAUUCCCGGUGGAGCGGUGAAAUGCGUAGAUAUCGGGAAGAACACCGAGGGCGAAGGCGCUCUGCUGGGCCGAAACUGACACUGAGAGACGAGAGCUAGGGGAGCAAAUGGG
rnacentral:rRNA from 1 species